rnacentral:rRNA from 1 species
UACAGAGGGGGCAAGCGUUGUUCGGAAUUACUGGGCGUAAAGGGCGCGUAGGCGGCCUGCUAAGUCGAACGUGAAAUCCCUGGGCUCAACCCAGGAUCUGCGUCCGAUACUGGUUGGCUUGAAUCCGGGAGAGGAGCGCGGAAUUCCCGGUGUAGCGGUGAAAUGCGUAGAGAUCGGGAGGAAGGCCGGUGGCGAAGGCGGCGCUCUGGAACGUACCUGACGCUGAGACACGAAAGCAUGGGGAGCAAACAGG